rnacentral:rRNA from 1 species
AAUGAACGCUGGCGGCAUGCCUAACACAUGCAAGUCGAACGAAGGCUUCGGCCUUAGUGGCGCACGGGUGCGUAACGCGUGGGAAUCUGCCCUCAGGUUCGGAAUAACAGCGAGAAGUUGCUGCUAAUACCGGAUGAUAUCGCGAGAUCAAAGAUUUAUCGUCCUGAGGAUGAGCCCGCGUAGGAUCAGCUAGUUGGUGUGGUAAAGGCGCACCAAGGCGACGAUCCUUAGCUGGUCUGAGAGGAUGAUCAGCCACACGGGGACUGAGACACGGCCCAGAUUCCUCCGGGAGGGAGAAAUGGGGAAUAUUGGAAGAUGUGUGAAAGCCUGAUCCAGCAAUGCCGCGUGAGUGAUGAAGGCCGUAGGGUUGUAAAGCUCUUUUACCCGGGAUGAUAAUGACAGUACCGGGAGAAUAAGCUCCGGCUAACUCCGUGCCAGCCGCCGCCGUAA